GUACAUUGAGGUAUGCAUCACCUUAGGAAAGCAUAAAAAGAAAAACUACGGCCAUGAAGGACUUUUCUGGGGGAAAAUGUACCACAUUUGAAUACAGCACUUUGUGUCAGUUCUAUCCUUUUGAUCACAUCACCUGUGAAUGUGGCACUCAGUCAAAGGUUUGAAUAGAAUCUAUUUUACCACCUUCAUCGUCAUCAUCACUCUCAGCCUCAUCACCAUCACCAGCCCAUGAUGGGCACCAAGAUUUCACAUUCCAGAGGAAGGAAUGGCUACCUUAAGACCCGAAAGAAGAAAAUAACUGAAGUGAGGAAAUGGGGAGGCACACUUCAGCAGAGAAGAGCAGAAAACUGGCUCAGAGGCAAAU
rnacentral:lncRNA from 1 species